CGGAAGCACUUCAAGCUCACUUCCUACUUUCAAGCCCAGCCACCCUGCCCGUUUUGUGUGUUGGGUUUUCUCUGAACAGCUAUGCCACACGCACAAAGUUUGACUCUCACUGUAUCGCAGUGAACCACGGCCAAAGAAAAAAAAAUCUUCUGACCCUUGUUAAAAUGUAA
rnacentral:lncRNA from 1 species